rnacentral:lncRNA from 9 species
CCCUAUGAAUAACAUACCUUUAGGUCUUUGUUCUUAAGCUUAAGUCAUUCACUGUCACUGACUAUUUUUCAAGCAGGAAGAUGGGGUAAAGUAAAGCAGGACAAUUUAGUUUUCAGCAAAGAGGUAAGAAAAUAUUGUAGAAACAUGUCUCAUGACACCAGGCUAGGGAUCUAAUCAGAGCUGUAGCUGCCAGCCUACACCACACUACGGCAACACGGGAUCCCAGCUGUGUCUGAACCUACAUCACACAGCUCAUGGCAACGCCGGAUCCUUAACCCACUGAGCAAGGCCAGGGAUUGAACCCGCAACCUCCUCGUUCCUAGUUGGAUUCGUUAAGCACUGAGCCAUGACAGGAACUCCUCAAAAUCAUUUUAGAAGCAACUUGGAGGAGUUCCUGUUGUUGGUUCAGUGGGUUAAGAACCUGACUAGUAUCCAUGAGGAUGUGGGUUCAGUCCCUGGCCUCCUUCGGGUUAAGGAUCCUAUGUUGCCAUGAGCUAUAGUGUAGGUCACAGAUGUGGAUCAGAUCCUGCAUUGCUGUGGCUAUGGUAUAGGCUGGCAGCUGCAGCUCCAAUUUGACCCCUAGCCUGGGAACUGCCAUAGGCCACAGGUGUGGCCCUAAAAAGACAAAGAAUGAAAAGGGAGGGAGCCAGAGAGAGAAAGAAGGAAGGAAGGCAAGAGAGACUUGGAAAACCGCCCUGCCUCACCCAUGGAUGGGUUCCCUAGCCUCAAAGGUUGCAAGUCCAGUGGGGAACUGACCCAGUCACACCAACUUCACAGCCCUGCAGGCGCUCCAGGGCCCCAUUAAAACUUGCAGACAAGCUGGCAGCCAGGCCAGAUCCACGGGCCCCUCCCACAUCUCCAAGGAGUCAAGUUAACAUUGGUUGCUAUGGAGACAGCCAGUGUUCUUCAUGAAUGAGAGCUGUUCUGCCCAGAGAAACCCUGCCAGCGUCUAGGGGCCCAGCUGGCUCCCAACAAAGGCACACACUGCCAGGGAGGGGGCUCAGAGGCAGAAGAGGCCCAGCCUUCAUUGCCAGAACAUUGCUUGUGGUGGGGAGACAGCUAUGGAGACUGGAGUCCCUGUCUUCCAUCAACCCGAGACCUCUUGGACCCACAAGUCAACAAAGCUAUGGGUGGAAGAGGAAAGCGGCCCUGAGCUGCCCAAGUGGCACCCAGGCUGCCAAAGUCAAACCGGUGUCAUCAUUUCGGAGCUAAGCACAUGGAGGAUGAAUCACGUAAAUGCUUGGCUUUAAAGCACCGAGGUCAGGACUCUGCAGCCAUUAAAAAGAGCAAGGCAGAGGGAAUUCCCGUUGUGGCUCAAUGGAGGACGCAGGUUCAAUUCCUGGUCUCGCUCAGUGGGUUAAGGAUCCAGCAUUGCCCUGAUCUGUGGUGUAGGUCGCAGAUGUGGCUUGGAUCUGGUGUGGCUGUGGUGUAGGCUGGUGGCUAUAGCUCUGAUUCCACCCCUUGCCUGGGUACCUCCAUAAGCUGAGGGUGUGGCCCUAAAAACAAACAAACAAAAACUAAAAAUAGAACUGCUGUAUGAUCUAGCAAUCUCACUUCGGGGUAGUUUUCCAAAGAAAACCACAACACUGGAUCGAAAAGAUAUAUGUACCCACAGGUUCACUGCAGCAUUAUUCACGGAAGCCAAGACAGGAAAGCAACCUAAGUGCCCAUCAAAGAUGAAUGGAUAAAGAAGAUGUGUAGAUCUAUACAACGGGCAGUAUAAUUUAGAUUUCUGGAUUCUUGUCG